rnacentral:rRNA from 1 species
UACAGAGACUGCAAGCGUUAUUCGGAUUCACUGGGCGUAAAGGGCGUGUAGGCGGACCGGCGCGUCCCGUGUGAAAGCCCCCUGGCUCAACUGGGGGAGGUCAUGGGAAACGGUCGGACUGGAGCCCGGUAGGGGGCCAUGGAAUUCCCGGUGUAGUGGUGGAAUGCGUAGAGAUCGGGAGGAACACCUGUGGCGAAGGCGGUGGCCUGGACCGGUGCUGACGCUGAGGCGCGAAGGCGUGGGGAGCGAUCCGG